CAGAAGGAAACAUUUUUAGAUGAUACCACUCGUAUACACAAUUUGAGAAAUAGAACGUAUUGAUGUUAGUGCCAUGUAGAGCUGGUGUCAAUUGACCACAAAACUAUCUUAACACGUACGCACGCACUGAAAAAUGAAGUGUAUUAACAUAAUAAAGCUGUAAAGCAUCCGUUGCCUGAAUUUGAAAGCUACCUCAAACUAAUUUUUAACUUCAUAAACGAGCGAAUGCGACGCCUUUUAAUCAAUCAAUUGUCUGCUACGUUAUCAGUUGUUUAUAUCCGAUCAAUACUAGAACAGUUAAUCAGUGAAUUAAACUUUAUUUUUUUUAUUUAUGAAGGCUUCCGGUCCAUAUCCACAUUAUGCAUACACAAUAAUUAUUCACAGCAAAAAAUCAUAACUAAAAACGAAAUAGGUUUAAAACAAAGAUUUCCUUGACAGUAAAUCGUGGCUUCCCUUAGAUUACAACAUUUCCAAUUCGCCUUAUUCCAGAAGCCCAUAAUGCUUUGCGACAAAGGUGACUUCCGGUUUAUUUCCGCAUUCAAUUUCCUAGUUAUCGAUACGAGUGAAAGGAAGAGCAUACUUGGCAAAAUAGAUCGAUAGAGAUGUCCAUUCUGGAUGUUUGAUUCCGCCAAGUUGAUGCUCAACAGGAGUAGGCAGUUGAUACCAUUGAUCUGAUAGCACCUGCUAUAUCAGUGGUUUUACAAGAAAAAUUUGUGCAAAACACAAGAGACGGAAUCGGUUCAAGAACAGAGAUAAAAUAAAUUAAGUGUGUCAAUAUGAAUGAAAACUUUCCCUGACUGCAAGGACUAAAGAAAUGCACACAAGUGACAUAAAUUUAAAUGUUUGGUACAAAAAGUAGACAUGUAGAAAUUAAAAUUAUGACACAGGAUGUGAAACAACACUAUAGCCGAUAACAGUCCAACAAGAGAUUUUUCAAAAAGAAGCAAGAUUUGGUUUUUGAACCCUUGGCAAAUGAACCUUUAAAGGGAUUAUUGCAUACCAAGGACAAUUUAUUGUUUUUGAAUUAUAUCAAAUGUUAUUAUUAAAUUGUAAAAAAUAC